UCAUAUAUUUUUUUAAAAAUUUCCGAAGAAAUUUUUUUUCCAGGUCCAGCCAGCCUAGUCUGGUCACUUGGCCAUGCCAGUGACCAAGACCCAACCAUCCAUGCACGGGUAAUGUUUUACGCGUGCAUGAACAGUGUGAAGGUAAUUAAAUUACCUUCGCACUGUUCACCCUCCUUCUUGCAGAUAGCAAGAACGAAAAAAAAAACAGAUACUGCAACUGAUGAUUUCAGAAACUAAGAAUGGAAAUGAACGUACCUGGUUUUGGAUAAAGGAGGCCGAUGAUUGUGCUGACCUACUCUACUGGGUUCGUGAUUCUGGACAAGGAAUUAAAGCCUAUGGUGAUGCUGGCCUCCUCUGCUGGUUCCCUGGUUCUGAAAAAAAGUGAAGCCGCUGGUGAUGGUGGCUUCCUCUGUUAUUUCCUUCGUUCUGGAAGAGUAAAGAGCAGAUGGUGGCUCAACUCCUCUGUCGGUGUCGCGUUUUCUGACGGUCACUCGGCUCCUCUGUUGGUUUCGCCUUCUCUCUGCUUUCUCUCUUCCUGCUCACUCCCUCUGCCUCUCUCUUCUUUACACUCUCUUCUUUUCCUUUUGUCUCGUUGCCUUCUCCCUUUUCUCCCUUUCUGUCCCGUUCUUUCCUCCUGUUUUCUCUUCUUCUCCUCUCUCGUUCCUCCCCCACUCCAGUGCAGUACAUCCUCUGGCUUUUAUAGCCAGAGGAUGCAGGCGUUUUCUCUUUUUUGUUGCAGGGAUGGAGUAAAGGCCGGCGUGCAUCAUGGUAGCCGUGAAACAUGCCCCCUUGAUUGAAGCAAAUCGCGCCUUCGCCGCUGCAAACGUUUCUCGGCCAGCUCACGUAACGUCUUCUAAAGAAGACAGUAAACAGUGUUGAAUAAAACGGCACCGUUUUGUAACUUUAAAUGAUAUUUCCGAUUUGGUCCUUGGAUGUUAAUGCAAUUUUGUAAUCAAGCUCCCGGACAAAUUUUAAUUAGAUCCCUUUAUGUUA